rnacentral:rRNA from 1 species
GACGAACGCUGGCGGCGUGCUUAACACAUGCAAGUCGAACGGAAAGGCCCUGCUUUUGUGGGGUGCUCGAGUGGCGAACGGGUGAGUAACACGUGAGUAACCUGCCCUUGACUUUGGGAUAACUUCAGGAAACUGGGGCUAAUACCGGAUAGGAGCUCCUGCUGCAUGGUGGGGGUUGGAAAGUUUCGGCGGUUGGGGAUGGACUCGCGGCUUAUCAGCUUGUUGGUGGGGUAGUGGCUUACCAAGGCUUUGACGGGUAGCCGGCCUGAGAGGGUGACCGGCCACAAUGGGACUGAGGUACGGCCCAGACUCCUACGGGAGGCAGCAGUGGGGAAUAUUGCACGAUGGGCGGAAGCCUGAUGCAGCAACGCCGCGUGCGGGAUGACGGCCUUCGGGUUGUAAACCGCUUUCGCCUGUGACGAGGCGUGAGUGACGGUAAUGGGUAAAGAAGCACCGGCUAACUACGUG